GAACACGCACACGACGGCGUCGCUCGGCGCCACCAUCGCACCUUCUCAAAAAUCCCUAAACGAAGGCUGUCCCUAGGCACCUAGGAUCAGGUCACGUGAGGGAUUUUUGCGCGACAAAUAGACGCACGCUGCAUCUUAGGAGAGUAACACCAACACCACAUUGCCCAUAGUUGUCUUGAUUUAUGCCAUUUUUGGCGCGUGGUCAGUUAGCUAACGUAGUUUAAUAAUGCAAAUAAGGAAAUAUUCGUUCAAAAAUUAAAUUCUCGGGUUUUACGAGCCGGAACCACGAUAUGAUUAUGAAGCAGGCGGAAAUGAAUUACUCUGGAUUAAUUGUUACGUCCUGGGCUUCCUUAAAGCGCAUGUAAAUGCGUAAAUCACGUCCGUUUUUUAAUUCCCCCCAACCAAAGUGUGGCUGUCAGGACCAGGAUCGCACCCGCCAUCUCAGCAGCGUGACGCCAGAGUCACUGAGCUACCCCGAACUUCUGCAAGAUUAUCGGGGCCGGGGUCGCUUUCAACAUCCCCACAAAGAAGAAGCAGCAAGGGGCAAAAAGGCAAUAGGACGAUUUCAGGGCACGGAAGCAUGAUAGCGAAUGAAUCAUCUGAUCUGAAGCUACGACAAGACGUGAUGACGUUGACGUCGCAGCUGCGCAAUGGCGGAAUUGCAGGUGGCGCUCUAUGCGCACUUUAAGGUCCACGUGAGCUGUUGCCAGCAGGUGUGGGUCCGGAGCAGAGGCGGCAUCACAAAUUCCGUCCAAGGGUGGAAGGUUAUCCCGAAGGCCAACCACCGAUGCGCCGGCGGCGAAGACAACGACGAACUGCAGGACGGAAAAAGAGGGCAUGGCAGAGCAGAUCGUGUGCCCUGGUUGGCUUUUGGUCCGGUGGCGGGCCACGACCACGCCAUGCUGACAUCGCCCGGAGCUUUUUCACUUGGGGAUCUUUUCACCUGCGGGGCUUGUGCCGGUCGGGGUCAUUAAGGUUCAUUUAGGGCUGGGCCGGGGCACCCGCGCCCCGCUGAUGGCCGUCCUCAGCUCGUUCCUUAUUCAUGCGCGCUACGGCGGGAGCCAGGCGGGUAAUUCGCUCUUCCCCUGCUGCAGCCACGUUACCCGCCCGAUUCUUCCAGCGACCCGCUCAUUUGCUUUCCAGCUACUGGCGUGCCGAAAUUGUAUGCCAUGCUUACUGUACGACGUUCUUCUUUUGGUCGUUCGUGGAAGAGUGCACGUGUUCUUGCAACCGUAUUCGACCGCCCCUUUUGUGAAACCUCAGCUAUGUAAGUAAUAUAUCCCGUUUCUAUGUACUAUUUUCGGCAAUGUGUUAUGUAAGCAAAAUAUAAGCGAGCUCAGGAGAGAACUAACACCCUUUCCACAUGAAAGAGCUAUAGGUGCAGAAGGUUCCGCCUACGGUUCUUGAAUCAUGGUGCAUCAUACUGAAUAUGGAAACAGUGUAAUAGUUCAUGCAGUCUUCUGAAAUAAAUCUGAAAUUUGAAGUCUAAUAUAGUCUUCCUCACCCAAGGAAGUCACGUAACGGCAAUUCCAGCGCUAAGUGCACUGUGAGUUAUAAACGUCCGCAUUAAGGCCCAACCACACGCAGCACGGGAUACGCGUACACGUAAGCGUACGCGUCUGCGAGCGCGUACGCGGCUGAUGAAGGGCGGCCAGCCACAACACGUGCGCGCUGCGCGUAGCACAAGGCUGACAGACCAGCGAUGGCGGAGACGUUCAUCUGGGGCUUUGAGAAAAGUUUAUCCUUAAUUUCAUUAUGGCUAGCCUUUCUUACUUAUCAAUGUUAGAGCUAGUACAUUGUUUUUAAGUUGAGAAAUGCACGCCGUCUAUAUCUACACAUCCUCAUGGCAAGAAAAGCUACAUCAAUGAUCAACAUCACGUGCGAUAGCGUCUGCUUGCCUACGACUGCAGCUGACACACACGACGUUGCUGUAAAGCUUUUGCUCAGCCGCUUGCUUCGCCGGCAUCAGCGCUCUCAUCCCGCAAUGUACCACAUCAGAAAGAAGGUUUUGCUGCUGCUGCUCUUGUAAAGGCGGCGGGAGCGCAGAAUGCGUCUGCGGCGACGUUGGUGGGUCCUGCCAGUCUUUCAACGGCGUAAAGGACUUUACGGCUAUACGACGGAUACGUCAGGAUGACCAUGGUUUUUUCUAAAAGUUCAUUCGCAAGACGCCGCAGCUCUUUGACAAGCUAUUGAGCUUUGUCGCAGAAGGCCUCACACGGCAGCACCACAUUCGACAAACCCCUGGAGCUGUAGCAUUGAGCAAUGCUUCCCAACGUAUCCAUCCUGUGACUGCCUGCUGAAGCCAGCAAUGCUUGUGACUGCGGCCUGCUGUGGUGUGCCUCAGAAGCCUCAGGAACCAGAACUUCUUGGAGCAUCGGUUAUUCAAGAGAUUCCAAAAUGUUCUGAGACUCCACAGACUCGUGCGACGCCGAAGACAGUCGAUGCUGGCGCUUGUGACUCUUCACUUGACGGUAAUGGAACUUCAAGUGUUGCCAGAUCGGAAAACUGGCACAUUUUACAUUAAGAUGUCUGCGGCGCUUCCCUCCUCACUCGAUGGGGGCACUGGUUGAAGGUAGGCGGAUGUCCUGUAUGUGAGCGUAAUAGGGUUUGCACAUAUUGUCAAUGUGUAAAUAAUGUGCCAAUAUGAAUGCAAAAAUAUAUGAAGGCUCAAGUACGUCUACAUUUGUUUCAAGGUGUCAUUUUAUUAGAGAACGCCGAAGCUCCGAGUCAGUUUUGUAGGGACAAAAGUGGCUUGCCUACACAACUAGAAUGAACAGUUUCUGCAUGCGCUUAAGUGUAGCUUUUGUAUCUUUUUCUGUUUUUGCUUCUGAUGCAUUUAAGCAGUUCUUAUUAGAUCUGCAUGCCUAAAGCCUAGUGAUACCUUCUACUCAAAACAGUGCAUGAUAUUUACAAUGUUUCAGUUUCGAAAUAAUCAGCAGCAAGCAUUCCACUACAUUUAUUCAGUAAUACCACUUAAUAAAUUUCAUGUUUAAAGACCUAUGCUUGCACUUUCUAAACAUAGAGUACUAGUAUUGUUAGGUAUUUCUUUAGCAUAAGGCUCUCUCCUGUUCCAGUUUUUCUACUUGAAACGUUCUUGGCUUGUAACCUUAUUUUCCUUUCAUUUGUUUUUAAACUUCAUCUCAUUCUAAACUGUUUUUUUAACUGGAUGUAUGUCUAAACACAGUGUGAAGCUGUCUACGUAGUAAUCAAUGCAUUUGUUGUUUGUAUUUAGGAAGUUACGUAUAAUCAUGCUUGUCAUCUUGCCAUCUGCCUUGUAAAUGAUGUUUUGGCCCAGUAAAGCUGAUAUUAGCCAGCAAACCCUUCCAGAAGGUUUCUUAAAGCUAAGCUUUUUUUGCCUCAUCUCUGGGCUUUCCUACCGCUGCUGUUACUGUCUUUCCAAAUAGCUCUUAUUGAAUGCCUCAUACUGAUAAUAAUGUCGCCAUUGA